rnacentral:rRNA from 1 species
ACGAACGCUGGCGGCGUGCUUAACACAUGCAGGUCGAACGGAAAGGCCCUGCUUUUGUGGGGUGCUCGAGUGGCGAACGGGUGAGUAACACGUGAGUAACCUGCCCUUGACUUUGGGAUAACUUCAGGAAACUGGGGCUAAUACCGGAUAGGAGCUCCUGCUGCAUGGUGGGGGUUGGAAAGUUUCGGCGGUUGGGGAUGGACUCGCGGCUUAUCAGCUUGUUGGUGGGGUAGUGGCUUACCAAGGCUUUGACGGGUAGCCGGCCUGAGAGGGUGACCGGCCACAUUGGGACUGAGAUACGGCCCAGACUCCUACGGGAGGCAGCAGUGGGGAAUAUUGCACAAUGGGCGGAAGCCUGAUGCAGCAACGCCGCGUGCGGGAUGACGGCCUUCGGGUUGUAAACCGCUUUCGCCUGUGACGAAGCGUGAGUGACGGUAAUGGGUAAAGAAACACCGGCUAACUACGU